rnacentral:rRNA from 1 species
UUCCGUUAAUUGCUUAUGACGUACGGUGUUCUGAUUGAGAUUUUAACAUGAAGUGAGUGGCGAACGGGUGAGUAACACGUGGGUAACCUGCCCAGAAGUAGGGGAUAACACCUGGAAACAGAUGUUAAUACCGUAUAACASAGAAAACCGCAUGGUUUUCUUUUAAAAGAUGGCUCUGCUAUCACUUCUGGAUGGACCCGCGGCGUAUUAGCUAGUUGGUGAGGUAAAGGCUCACCAAGGCAGUGAUACGUAGCCGACCUGAGAGGGUAAUCGGCCACAUUGGGACUGAGACACGGCCCAGACUCCUACGGGAGGCAGCAGUAGGGAAUCUUCCACAAUGGACGCAAGUCUGAUGGAGCAACGCCGCGUGAGUGAAGAAGGGUUUCGGCUCGUAAAGCUCUGUUGUUAAAGAAGAACGUGGGUAAGAGUAACUGUUUACCCAGUGACGGUAUUUAACCAGAAAGCCACGGCUAACUACGUGCCAGCAGCCGCGGUAAUACGUAGGUGGCAAGCGUUAUCCGGAUUUAUUGGGCGUAAAGCGAGCGCAGGCGGUCUUUUAAGUCUAAUGUGAAAGCCUUCGGCUCAACCGAAGAAGUGCAUUGGAAACUGGGAGACUUGAGUGCAGAAGAGGACAGUGGAACUCCAUGUGUAGCGGUGAAAUGCGUAGAUAUAUGGAAGAACACCAGUGGCGAAGGCGGCUGUCUGGUCUGCAACUGACGCUGAGGC